rnacentral:rRNA from 1 species
CCUACGGGUGGCUGCAGUGAGGAAUAUUGGUCAAUGGACGCAAGUCUGAACCAGCCAUGCCGCGUGCAGGAAGACGGCUCUAUGAGUUGUAAACUGCUUUUGUACGAGGGUAAACGCAGAUACGCGUAUCUGUCUGAAAGUAUCGUACGAAUAAGGAUCGGCUAACUCCGUGCCAGCAGCCGCGGUAAUACGGAGGAUUCAAGCGUUAUCCGGAUUUAUUGGGUUUAAAGGGUGCGUAGGCGGUCGGAUAGGUUAGAGGUGAAAUCCCGAGGCUCACCUCCGGAGUUGCCUCUGGUACUGUGCGGCUAGAGAGUAGUGGCGGUGGGCGGAAUGGAUGGGGGAGCGGUGAAAUGCUUAGAGAUCAUACAGAACACCGAUUGCGAAGGCAGCUGACCAAGCUACGGCGGACGUUGAGGCACGAAGGCGUGGGGAGCAAACAGGAUUAGAUACCCGAGGAGUG